rnacentral:rRNA from 1 species
UACGUAGGGGGCAAGCGUUGUCCGGAUUUAUUGGGCGUAAAGCGCAUGCAGGCGGUGCACCAAGUUUGGAGUGACAGUUUCCGGCUCAACCGGAAAAGGAUUUCGAAAACUGGCGCACUUGAGGGCUUUAGAGGGAUGCGGAAUUCCGGGUGGAGUGGUGAAAUGCGUAGAUAUCCGGAAGAACACCAAUGGCGAAGGCAGCAUCCUGGAGAGUACCUGACGCUCAGAUGCGAAAGCUAGGGGAGCGAACGGG